UAUCAUCAAAUGAUGUUAGUCAGGUAAGUCAAAUAUAAUACAUAAUAAUUCUAAAUGUCACAUUAGUAAGCAUCUUUUAUUUUAAAUAUUUUACUAUGUAUAGUUCUUGUCAGUAUAUGGAGUGUUUUAUUACACAUUUUUAGGGGUGUUUGGUUUUGGUUCUGGUUAAGAACCAGAACCGAAACUAGAACCAAACCUUCGGUUCUUUGAAUUUUAGGAACUAGACUUGGAAGUUGGAACCGAACUUCUGUUCCAGUUCUGGUUUGGUUCUAAGCAAUCUCGGUAUGGUUCCGGUUUUAGUUUCGGUUCUUUUUUCAUUUCAAUUUUGGUUCUUAUUUCAUUUCAGAUCUUGAAUUUUAUACUUAAAAUUGUAGUAUUCGUGUGUUCAUUUUAAAAUAGAAAAU
rnacentral:misc_RNA from 1 species